UACGGGGGGGGCAAGCGUUGUUCGGAAUUACUGGGCGUAAAGGGCGCGUAGGCGGUUCGCUAAGUUGAAUGUGAAAACUCUGGGCUUAACCCAGAGCCUGCAUCCAAAACUGGCGAACUGGAGUACUGGAGGGGAAAGCGGAAUUCCUGGUGUAGCGGUAGAAAUGCGUAGAUAUCAGGAGGAACACCGGUGGCGAAGGCGGCUUUCUGGACAGUAACUGACGCUGAGGCGCGAAAGCCGGGGGAGCAAACAGG
rnacentral:rRNA from 1 species